GACGAACGCUGGCGGCAGGCUUAACACAUGCAAGUCGAACGCAUCCUUCGGGGUGAGUGGCAGACGGGUGAGUAACGCGUGGGAACGUGCCCUUCAGUUCGGGAUAACCCAGGGAAACUUGGGCUAAUACCGGAUACGUGCGAGAGCAGAAAGAUUUAUCGCUGAAGGAUCGGCCCGCGUCUGAUUAGCUAGUUGGUGGGGUAAUGGCCCACCAAGGCGACGAUCAGUAGCUGGUCUGAGAGGAUGAUCAGCCACAUUGGGACUGAGACACGGCCCAAACUCCUACGGGAGGCAGUAGUGGGGAAUAUUGGACAAUGGGCGCAAGCCUGAUCCAGCCAUGCCGCGUGAGUGAUGAAGGCCUUAGGGUUGUAAAGCUCUUUCGUCCGGGACGAUAAUGACGGUACCGGAAGAAGAAGCCCCGGCUAACUUCGUGCCAGCCGCCGCUGUAA
rnacentral:rRNA from 1 species